rnacentral:rRNA from 1 species
UACGGGGGGGGCAAGCGUUGUUCGGAAUCACUGGGCUUAAAGGGCGCGUAGGCGGCCAGCACAAGUCAGUUGUGAAAUCUCCGAGCUUAACUCGGAAAGGUCAACUGAUACUGUGCGGCUAGAGUGCAGAAGGGGCAACUGGAAUUCUUGGUGUAGCGGUGAAAUGCGUAGAUAUCAAGAGGAACACCUGCGGCGAAGGCGGGUUGCUGGGCUGACACUGACGCUGAGGCGCGAAAGCUAGGGGAGCGAACGGG